AACGAACGCUGGCGGCGCGUCUUAUGCAUGCAAGUCGAACGACAAGAGAGGAGCUUGCUUCUCUCCUAGAUUGGCGGACUGGUGAGGAACACGUGGGUAAUCUACCCUUAAGAUGGGGAUAGCUGCUAGAAAUAGCAGGUAAUACCGAAUACACUCGUCAUAUCACAAUAGGUGUUGAGGAAAGGAAGCUACUGCUUCGCUUUAGGAUUAGCUUGCGUCCCAUUAGGUAGUUGGGAAGGGAAAGGCCCACCAAGGGAACGAGAGGUAACCGGCCUGAGAGGAUGACCGGCCACACUGGAACUGAGACACGGUCGAGAGUCCGACGGGAGGCGGAAGUAGGGAGACUUCCGCAAUGGGCGAAAGCCUGACGGAGCAACGCCGCGUGAGUGAUGAAGGUCUUCGGAUCGUAAAACUCUGUUAUUAGGGAAGAACAAACGUGUAAGUAACUGUGCACGUCUUGACGGUACCUAAUCAGAAAGCCACGGCUAACUACGUG
rnacentral:rRNA from 1 species